CAUAGUCUGACCGUUCGUCUCUGUCUUCCUCUGCCGUUCCGUCUCUAUCGCUUCCCGUCCCCAUUUCUCGUGGACGAACACAGAAAUUGCUAGGGUUUCUCCAACGGAUCUUCUCGGGGUUGAGCGAGCGCGCGAGAGGCCUCGAACCCAUGGGCGUAGGGCGAGCGCGCGCCAGAGGGCGGCGACGUCGAGCCCUCUGGUCGAGCAGCGCGGUGGGGGGCUAGGGGCGGUGAGCGCUGCGGCGGGAAGCGAGACGCCCGGUAGGGGCGACGAGCUCUGCGGCCGCGCGCGACGACGGAGUGCUCGGCGACAAUGAGCCGCCACGGAGGUGACUGCAUCGAUUCAUCGACUACACAGGAUGUCUGAGUGAAUGUAGCCGCAACAUCACACGAAGAGAAUGUCCUUAAGACGAAGUCAGACGAUGUAGGAUUGGAGUAUAGGAGGAAUCUAGUUGAUACUUAAAAGCUGGAUAAAGUGAAGUGGAUAUCAUCAAAGGAAAAAUUGGAUUUCUAUCAUGCUCAGGGAGCUAUGCAUAGAUUUAUCUAAGAGGGUCAGGACUUCUGUUGAAGCCAUUGGUAAUCCAGACAAUGAAGCAAGCUCUAGCAAUAAUCAGGGCAGAACAAGGAAGAUGCGAAGAUGUAUGGAGUUGACGAGGACAAAGAAAUGUCUGAAACUACCUGUACUUUGUAUGCAAAAGAGAAGUGUUCUUUGUCCAUGGGGGUUAGGUCCCCUAUGUAUGCAAUAUUUGCGUCCUUUUGUCUGAGAACAUCAGUGUGCGGGGGUGGCAGCAUUAUCAAGGGAGGAAAAUAUUAUCCCUACAUUGACGCUGCAACACUAUUUACAAAGUCAGAUAUGACAGAUGCUUAGUGUUCCGAAGCUACUAGUAGUCGAAGAUAAAUCAGUUCGCGAUGGUGGUAACAUUAUCAAGGAAGCAAAUUCCUAUUCUCUUUAUCGUCGCCACAACUAUAUGUACAAAGUCAGAUAAUACUGAUGCUUAGCUACCGUUUAUUCGAUCUAAAUAAUCCACUCCCUCCUUACCAAAAAGUGAUUCUCAACAUUUUUUAGAUACAGAUAUCUAGACAAAGUUGAGAAGCUCUUUUAGGAAGGGACUAAGGGAGGAAGUUACUGUUUUCAUGACAGUACCUUGUAGAACUUCUGUCGUGCAAAAGAUAUAACCAGGAACAACUAGUAGUAUGUCCGUUUCAGGGGUACGUCAAGCUCACAUCGCAACUGUUUAGUACUGCCUUCUUAUGAUCACUAUGUCAUGACAAGUUGCACCUGGGAGUUUUGUUUUAUCUGCAAUUGAAUUCCCUGUCUUUCCUAUGAUUAUUUUUU